CCCUUAGAUGUUCUGGGCCGCACGCGCGCUACACUGACGGAUUCAACGAGCUUACAACCUUGGCCGAAAGGUCUGGGUAAUCUCCAAAAUCCGUCGUGAUGGGGAUAGAUUAUUGCAAUUAUUAAUCUUCAACGAGGAAUGCCUAGUAAGCGCAAGUCAUCAGCUUGCGUUGAUUACGUCCCUGCCCUUUGUACACACCGCCCGUCGCUCCUACCGAUUGAAUGGUCCGGUGAAGCGUUUGGACUAUGGUUUUCUGAUGGUCCGCCGUUGGAUUACCGUGGGAAGUUCGUUAAACCUUAUCAUUUAGAGGAAGGAGAAGUCGCAACA
rnacentral:rRNA from 1 species